AUACUUACCUGGCAGCGGAGACACCAUGAUCACGAAGGUGGUUCACCCAGGGUACUUAACUUCUGUUCUGGUUUAGAGUAUUAAACAGAACAGCAAUGUC
rnacentral:snRNA from 1 species